rnacentral:rRNA from 1 species
GAUGAACGCUGGCGGCGUGCCUAAUACAUGCAAGUCGAGCGAACAGACGAUGAUCUUGCUCCGCUGACGUUAGGGGCGGGCGGGGGAGUAACACGUGUAAAACCCACCUAUAAGAGGGGGAUAAUCUCGGGAAACCGGAGAUAAUACCGUAGAAGAUAUUGAACCGCAGUGGGGAAUAGAUAAAGACGGUUUUGCGGGAUGGUAUAGAUGGAUCCCCGCCGCAUUAGCUGGUUGGUAAGGUAAAGGCUUACCAAGGCAACGAUGCGUAGGCGAACUGAGGGGGUGAUCGGCCACACUGGAACUGAGACACGGUCCAGACUCCUACGGGAGGCAGCAGUAGGGAAUCUUCCGCAAUGGGCGAAAGCCUGACGGAGCAACGCCGCGUGAGUGAUGAAGGUCUUCGGAUCGUAAAACUCUGUUAUUAGUGAAGAACAAAUGUGUAAGUAACUAUGCACGUCUUGACGGUACCUAAUCAGAAAGCCACGGCUAACUACGUG